rnacentral:rRNA from 1 species
AUUGAACGCUGGCGGCAAGCCUAACACAUGCAAGUCGAACGAGUGGCGGACGGGUGAGUAAUGUCUGGGAAACUGCCUGAUGGAGGGGGAUAACUACUGGAAACGGUAGCUAAUACCGCAUACCAUCGGAUGUGCCCAGAUGGGAUUGGCUAGUAGGUGGGGUAAAGGCUCACCUAGGCGACGAUCCCUAGCUGGUCUGAGAGGAUGACCAGCCACGCUUGAAUUGAUGCACGGUCCAGACUCCUACGGUGUGCAGCAGUGGGGAAGAAUGCCCAAUGGGCGAAAGCCUUAUGCAUCCAUUCCGCGGGUAUGAAGAAGGCCUUCGGGUUGUAAAGUACUUUCAGCGGGGAGGUGUUACACGCAGAAGAAGCACCGGCUAACUCCGGUCCAGCAGCCGCGGUAAUUG